rnacentral:rRNA from 1 species
CCUACGGGUGGCAGCAGUGGGGCAUAUUGGGCAAUGGGCGCAAGCCUGACCCAGCAACGCCGCGUGAAGGAAGAAGGCUUUCGGGUUGUAAACUUCUUUUCUCAGGGACGAAGCAAGUGACGGUACCUGAGGAAUAAGCCACGGCUAACUACGUGCCAGCAGCCGCGGUAAUACGUAGGUGGCAAGCGUUAUACGGAUUUACUGGGGGUAAAGGGCGUGUAGGCGGGGACGCAAGUCAGAUGUGAAAACCACGGGCUCAACCUGUUGCCUGCAUUUGAAACUGUGUUUCCUGAGGACUGGAGAGGCAGAAGGAAUUCCUAAUGUAGCGGUGAAAGGCGUAGAUAUUAGGAGGAACAGCAGGGGCGAAGGCGGUCUGCUGGACAGCAACUGACGCUGAGGCGCGAAAGCGUGGGGAGCAAACAGGAUUAGAUACCCGUGUAGUC